GCCAUUUUUACAUAUUUACUGUACUAAGCACAUAGUUGGUGGGGCUUUCUUGCUCCUUCUCUGUUAAACAAAACAAAGAUGGCUCGGCUUUUAGCUGUAGGUGGAAGCUGGACUCCUGGGAGGUUCGCAAAGACUUUCAGAAUGAGGUUAGGCUUUAACCAUCAUAGCUACAUUGUUGCUGAGGUAAUAGCUGCCUGCACUCGCCGAGAAUCAAGGUUCUUAAGUGGGAAACGGCAGAAAGCAAGGGCUGCACAAGCUGUACAACAAAACAUCCACACAUACACCUUCCGCUUUCAGUUGGUGUGACUCAUGAUUUAGAUGACUGAGUGAAAGGGAUACGUAUAAUAACACAUGAACCACAUAGCCUGCGUGUCCAAGCAAAUGGUAUUUCAGAACUUCCAGUGUCCCAGAGCCAACCUCAUUCCUACUGCUUUCAACACGAUGUGCCACUAUGUCCCAAGACUCAUAGAAGGCCCAAAGAGUGCUGUCAUGCGCGAGUUCUCAUCUUAUCUAGGAUGAAAUUUGUUCAAGAUAGGGAAACCUAUCUCAUGCACAUAAACAUUAAGAACAGUUUACUUAUCAGAUUACCUUAUGCAGAAUCUUGACUAAGAUAUCUGAAACUAAGUUCUCCGUACACAGAAGGUGUGUAAGGGUGAACAUAACGGAUCAGCUGACUAAGAGUGCCAAACAGCACUGUGCAAUUUUCUCCUUCUGACAUUGGCUAGCACUACAUUUACAGUAAGGCCUUGUUGGAGACGGAAGGCUGUACCUCUAGCUUACAGUAGCUCAUUUCUCCUUGGGUGGUCUUGGUGUUACCAAAAAAUGAAGAGAAUGGUACCAAAUAUGGGAAAGGGCCACAUGCAUGCAAGUUUAUACUUUCAAGCUUACCCUGGACUGCAUUAAGAGCAAUUUCAAAACAACUGAUUGAACUAAAAGUGUUCCAUUCCUUCAAACAUGGAUGCAAACUAUUCUCUUGAGAUAAUUAGCUCUGACAUUUCUCUUCCUAAGGACAACUGAAAGAAAGGCCUAAGGCUGAAGAGGAACUCUAAUACAACUAAAUUUCAGAAAAAUGCUGGCUAUGAAUUAUCCAAUUAAGGUUUAGGUGUUCAUGUUGUUCAGAAGACUGUUUGCUCUACAAAGAAAAGCCUCUUCAAAGAAGCACCACAGAAUCACUCACGUUGAUGUUAAACGCAUUUUGCGGAUACAGAGGUCUCCCGGUAGAAGACUAAUGUUCCCAACUCAACAAGGUUGUUGAUCAUCAGUAAGAAGAGCCAGCUGAAUAUUUAAAGCUUUGGAAAAAUAUAGUAAAGAGGAAGAGUUCCCAGAGCUCCAUCUAUUUAAUCUAUCAAAUUAAAGGUAAAAGUGUGGUUGUAGUCAUCGUUAUAUAAGAAAUAUAUAUUGUCAUAAUAUAUGAGAAAUAUAAUUUUCCUGUGGAGAGCUUCUUUACGUCUAUCUGACAAAAAUAAAUACUAAAAAAGAGUUGUGAUGUUUGAAACUGACAGAUGGGAAUCAGAGGAUAAAAUAUCUUUAAUAAUUGGACCCACAAUUACCAAGGAUUGCCAUGAAUUAUGCUUCCCUGGAAAUGUCUUAAAUCAAGAAUAGAUAUUACUUCAUAAGGUCUGAAUUGCUGAAAUGAGUUCUGCCUUUAACUCAUUUUAAUACUCCUGCUUUUUCAGUUUUUUCAUUCUUGAAGGUAAGUGUUACAGGUUGACUGCAAUGUUUUUGGCUAUUAAAUGCUUUUUUUCCUGUAGGACCUACUAGGAUUUUAAUAGUCUACCUACAGAAACAAAUAGCUAAAACAUUCCCUUUUCCUACUUAGGAAUCAAAACACAUGUGCACACAAUUAUCUCUAUUCAUUGAAGGUUAUGCUAGAUGUUUCACAAUUUUAAUUUAAAGUGUAUUAAACUUUUGCAUAUUGUUUACAAAUUAGGUUCUAUAAAACAUCCUGAAAAUGACAGUGAUUGAUGUGGAGUAACAUACACACAAUUAAUGCUGACUGAAUUGCUAAUUACAGGAUUGACAUCUCAUUUGCAGUGAGAUGCUGUAGAUCUUUUGGAGAAAGAAUUGGCAGUGUUGUCAUGUAAUUUCUCCAUUUCCUUAAGCUUGUAGUUUGAUGCCCUGUAGUUAAACCUUGACUAAAGAUUCAGCCUCACCUUCUAAAAGGUGCAAUGUAAGAAAAGCCUUAGGAUAAAAAGCAAAAUAGUCACCUCUACCCAAGAAUUAAAUCUCCCCUGAUAAUUUCUCCUAUCAAAGAGAUAAAUUGUGCCACAGUAUUGUUUAUUCUUACUUGUUUUACUAGUUUCACCAGCUUUCUUAUCCUUUCUGCUUUCUUUCCCUGACCUGCAGGGAAAGUAAACAGCGCUAUUACAGAGAUGAAUUUGGUAGGAAUUGCGGGAAUCUGGCUUGAAAGGAAAGUGCAUUUUAUUAAAUGAACCUUAGUAUCUGGAAAAGGUAAAUUUCAGAAUCUAUGCUGUGGAAUGCCCCUUAAAAAGAGAAGUAACAUAUAACAAAUGCUUGAGUUGGCAGAAACAGACUGACCAGUUGUGAUCUCACCGUUUGAGAGCAUCUGCUGGUCAAGUUAAUCCAGUUCUGUUGCCUGGCCACAUGGCACGAAGAUCAGUCGGGAUAUUCAACAACCAGAGCAGGAUUAUUUGUUGCAAGCCCUGUGUUACCCAAAUGCAGUAAAGCUUGUUUACUAGCAUGGAAAGUUCAGCUGUGGAAGCUCUACAAUGUCACCCAGACAAAAGGGAGAAGCUUGGCCAGUGUGACAGCAGGAUGCAAUUUACUUUUGGAGUGUCUACAAGAGGGGAACAAAACUACAGCUGCUCAUCUUUGAGAUGAUGAGUGACAUGACACUUUCAGUGCUGCUGGUUGCAUUUGGUUUUCUUCUAUUGCAAGUUGGGACCCUGAUAAGUUACUGAGAAAUCCUUACUUUACAAGAAGAUUGAAGAGAAACAAAAAGGCAUGACAAGAUCAUCAUUUAGACAAAACAACUGGGAGCCUUCAUGAAGGGAGCGCAACAGGGCUCUAGAAGCAACUCCCCCUCACGGUGUUACAGUGAACCUCUGGCUCUGGAGAGAGUUGUUUUCUGGGAAACAGCAAGCAGUGAUCGCUGUUGGAGGCAGUCUGCUUGACAAGCUAUUGUCACUGUCAGAUUCAAGGUAUCGGUCUCGGUGGUCUGAUCACCUCAGAUGUCGUCUGGUAACUAAAGUUACUUGCACCUUGAAUUCCAAUGGAAUGUAACUUCUACUGAUUUCAUCAGAGCAGAGUUUUGUUUUUCUCUGGGAAGCUAGAGAAAUGGAUGUAUUCUGAAGGAAAAAUACCUGCAUCUCAUAGCCGACGAAUGCAGAACCCGAGAAACCAGGAAGAGACUCGUUCGGUAAUGCAGAGGAAGAAUCGAGAACAGAGAUCAUACCUCAUGAAAUCCAGCUACUUCAAUGGCCUCCCAAGAUGGCACAAGCCACCUUCUCUGAGCACUUCUGAAUGGGAAGACUUCCUGUAGAAUCCUCUUGCACCGACUAGAAUUACACUUCUCCAUUACAUGUAAAAGCAAUGUAGGUAUUGAAGGAAGAUGUGACUUCUGGUGGAUAUUAACACAGGACAGGACCGAGCAUGUCAUCUGCAGAGCAUCUCCCUCCCAGGAGUCUGCGCCCUCUCCUGACCUGCUUCUCACAACAGCAAAUAAUGACAGCAUGGCAAACCUGGUUAGAACGAUAAAAAACAGUCCCAACCCUAUUCAACUACAGAUAAACACGGAGUUCAUUAAGACACUACAAGUUAGAGAGCAACUGUGGAAAAAUAUAUUCCUCGUGCCUUUGUUAUGCUGCUGGAGGGGCCCUAGUGUGCUGAUAGACGACGUAAGACAAUUACUGCAGCAGCAGUCCCAAGGACAGCAGAUUUACUGAGUGUGUGGACAGCAACUGUCGUGGGCAAGUGCUGCACAUGGGACACUCCCUGCAAGUAUUGAUUUACAGUGCGGAGACUGCUGCUGCCAGCACACUGCAUGUGCACCUGCUCCUUGCCACAAAGAGCUCACAGGCUAGGAGCAGGAUUAAUUGUUUAGUGCUAGGAAGGCAUCACACCCAAUGCCUUCAAAUUAAGCAUUAUCCCAGAGUGACUGCAGUAAUUACAGUAAGUAAAUCUACAAAAUAUUAUCAUGAGUAAUACUCGAUAGGGAACACUGAGUGGCAACUCUUACUCUUUGCUUUCUUAAUGGUUCUUGAUGCCUGAACGGCUUCCUUGAUACCAUGUAUAAAUUAAAAUUUUAGUAGAAUUCCCACCACUUCACUACCAUGUAAUUCUUGUCCGUAACCUCCCUGCUUUGUGUCAUUUCUGGCGAUUGCUUACCUCGUUGCUAAAAGAUCUGGUUUUGUUCUGAUUAAAUGAAAAAGUGGUGAAACACACUGAACUAGGUGAACUGUCAAACCCCUCUAAAACUUACAGUAUGAAAGUAUUCCCCAAAUAAGCAUUUCCCUAGGAGGAAGAGAACUGACAGACAACGUGAACAACAAAAUUCUUGAACACUACCCAGUUGAUGAGAGUCCAUUUAGGGCUAGUUUGUAUAAUUUGGCAUAACUGCAGUUAUAAACACUUGAAGAAGCCUUGGAAGCACAAACAUCACUGAAGCUUACAUUGGAUUGGAGAUCUCAUUGCAUUUGGCAGCUGUAUAAAGCUGUGGAGCAUGGAAAUUUGCUCAGAUGGAUCCUGAUUAUACAAACACAGGCCACAAGCUUUGAACACUCAAUACAAUUUUGUUGUGUACAGACAAGCUACCACGAAGACUCCCAAAGGCUUUUGUCUAGUCAACCAGCAUGAGGUACCUUAUCUGAAAAAAUGCAUUUUUCAAAAAGCUAUACAGUCUUCUAUCAACUUUCCUCAGACCACUGCCCCACCACAGACGAUCAUGGUACCUGUCAGAAUACAGAGUGUAUUUUGUAGGAAAACAAGAAAGUAUCCUCAUUCAAAUUUUAAGGUACAUAUCUGGAAUGCAAGGCAAAUACUGAUUUUUGUGCUGAUGAGGGUAAUUUAGAUCAGUUGGUUUACCCUGCUCUGGUUUGAAAGUCUCUCUGCUUCUCAUCUUUCUUACUCAAUUCUCCACUUGCACUGCUGUAUUUUCAGAAUUAUCUAUAGCAUAAGAUAUUAAUAAAAUUUCUGUCUGACCAGAAUAUCAGCAGAAGUCAAAGCAUGCUUGCAGACAAGAGAUGGUGCUAUAAACAGCCACAGCCAGCAUCUAUGUUUUAAUACUUAACAAACUUCAAGACUACAAUAAACAUCAAUACUUACAGUCCUGCUUAA